rnacentral:rRNA from 1 species
CCUACGGGUGGCAGCAGUGAGGAAUAUUGGUCAAUGGGCGCGAGCCUGAACCAGCCAAGUCGCGUGAGGGAAGACGGUCCUAUGGAUUGUAAACCUCUUUUGUCGGGGAGCAAAAGACGCCACGCGUGGCGUUCCGAGAGUACCCGAAGAAAAAGCAUCGGCUAACUCCGUGCCAGCAGCCGCGGUAAUACGGAGGAUGCGAGCGUUAUCCGGAUUUAUUGGGUUUAAAGGGUGCGCAGGCGGAAGAUCAAGUCAAGGGUGAAAUCCCCGCGCUCAACGUGGGAACUGCCUUUGAAACUGGCAAACUGGAGUGUGUGAGAGGAUAGUGGAAUUCCAGGUGGAGGAGUGAAAUCCGUAGAUAUCUGGAGGAACAUCAGUGGCGAAGGCGACUAUCUGGCACAUAACUGACGCUGAGGAGCGAAAGCGUGGGUAGCAAACAGGAUUAGAUACCCGAGUAGUC